GAUUCUGGCUCAGAACGAACGCUGGCGGCAGGCUUAACACAUGCAAGUUGAACGGGAUUGUUUUGUGCUUGCACGAAGCAAUGAGAGUAGCGCACUGGUGAGUAACACGUGGGAACAUACCUUUUGGUGGGGGACAACAGAGGGAAACUUCUGCUAAUACCGCAUAAGCCCUGAGGGGGAAAGAUUAAUUGCCGAAAGAUUGGCCCGCGGAAGAUUAGGUAGUUGGUGGGGUAAAGGCCUACCAAGCCGACGAUCUAUGGCUGGUCUGAGAGGACGAACAGCCACAUUGGAACUGAGACACGGUCCAGACUCCUACGGGAGGCAGCAGUGAGGAAUAUUGGGCAAUGGAGGAAACUCUGACCCAGCCAUGCCGCGUGAGUGAAGAAGGUUUUCGAAUUGUAAAGCUCUUUCGGAUACGAGGAUGAUGACGGUAGUAUCUAAAGAAGCCCCGGCAAACUUCGUGCCAGCCGCGGC
rnacentral:rRNA from 1 species